rnacentral:misc_RNA from 1 species
GAAAUGCGAUAAGUAAUGUGAAUUGCAGAAUUCAGUGAAUCAUCGAAUCUUUGAACGCACCUUGCGCUCCUUGGUAUUCCUUGGAGCAUGCCUGUUUGAGUAUCAUGAAAUCUUCAAAGUAAAUCUUUUGUUAACUCAAUUGGUUUCUACUUUGGUAUUGGAGGUCUUUGCAGCUUCACACCUGCUUCUCUUUGUUCAUUAGCUGGAUCUCAGUGUUAUGCUUGGUUCCACUCGGCGUGAUAAGUUAUCUAUCGCUGAGGACACUGUAAAAGGUGGCCAAGGUAAAUGCAGAUGAACCGCUUCUAAUAGUCCAUUGACUUGGACAAUACUUUUAUUAUCUGAUCUCAAAUCAGGUAGGACUACCCGCUGAACUUAAGC